GACGAACGCUGGCGGCGUGCUUAACACAUGCAAGUCGAACGGAGCACCCUUGACUGAGGUUUCGGCCAAAUGAUAGGAAGGCUUAGUGGCGGACUGGUGAGUAACGCGUGAGGAACCUGCCUUUCAGAGGGGGACAACAGUUUGAAACGACUGCUAAUACCGCAUGACGCAUUCAGAUCGCAUGGUCGAAAUGCCUAAGAUUUAUCGCGGAAAGAUGGCCUCGUGUCUGAUUAUCUAGUUGGUGAGGUAACGGCCCACCAAGGCGACGAUCAGUAGCCGGGAUGAGAGGGUGACCGGCCACAUUGGGACUGAGAUACGGCCCAGACUCCUACGGGAGGCAGCAGUGGGGAAUAUUGGGCAAUGGGCGCAAGCCUGACCCAGCAACGCCGCGUGAAGGAAGAAGGCUUUCGGGUUGUAAACUUCUUUUAAGUGGGAAGAGCAGAAGACGGUACCACUUGAAUAAGCCACGGCUAACUACGUGCCAGCAGCCGCGGUAA
rnacentral:rRNA from 1 species